GGUGGGGAGGUAAGGUCCCUCAGCAUGGAUUGCGAGAGGAUGCAGGCCAGGCCGAGGGACCCCACAGGUGCAGG
rnacentral:pre_miRNA from 1 species